rnacentral:rRNA from 1 species
GACGUAGGGCGCGAGCGUUGUCCGGAUUGAUUGGGCGUAAAGCGUGCGCAGGCGGUUCGUUGUGUCGGCGGUGAAAGCCCCGGGCUCAACCUGGGAAUGGCCGUUGAAACUGGCGAACUGGGAGUGUGGCAGAGGGGGGUGGAAUUCCGCGUGUAGCAGUGAAAUGCGUAGAGAUCGGCAGGAACACCCAGGGGGAAACCAGCCGACUGGGCAUCUACUGACGCUGAGGUGCGAGAGCGUGGGGAGCGAACCGG